CCUACGGGAGGCAGCAGUGAGGAAUAUUGGUCAAUGGGCGAGAGCCUGAACCAGCCAAGUCGCGUGAGGGAGUACUGCCCUAUGGGUUGUAAACCUCUUUUGUCGGGGAGCAAAAGCCGGACGUGUCCGGCUGUGAGAGUACCCGAAGAAAAAGCAUCGGCUAACUCCGUGCCAGCAGCCGCGGUAAUACGGAGGAUGCGAGCGUUAUCCGGAUUUAUUGGGUUUAAAGGGUGUGCAGGCGGAUUUUUAAGUCAGCGGUCAAAUCGUGGGGCUCAACCCCAUCCAGCCGUUGAAACUGGGGAUCUAGAGUGUGCGAGAGGUAUGCGGAAUGCGUGGUGUAGCGGUGAAAUGCAUAGAUAUCAAGAGGAAUACUCAUUGCGAAGGCGACCUACUGGAACAUUACUGACGCUCAUGCACGAAAGCGUGGGGAGCAAACAGGAUUAGAUACCCGUGUAGUC
rnacentral:rRNA from 1 species